UACGAAGGGGGCUAGCGUUGUUCGGAAUUACUGGGCGUAAAGCGCGCGUAGGCGGGCUUUUAAGUCAGAUGUGAAAUCCCAGGGCUCAACCCUGGAACUGCAUUUGAAACUGGAAGUCUGGAGGCCAGGAGAGGUCAGUGGAAUACCGAGUGGAGAGGUGAAAUUCGCAGAUAUUCGGUGGAACACCAGUGGCGAAGGCGACUGACUGGACUGGUACUGACGCUGAGGCGCGAAAGUGUGGGGAGCAAACAGGAUUAGAUACCCUGGUAGUCCACACCGUAAACGAUGACAGCUAGUUGUUGGCAGGCAUGCCUGUCGGUGACGCAGCUAACGCAAUAAGCUGUCCGCCUGGGGAGUACGGCCGCAAGGUUA
rnacentral:rRNA from 1 species